rnacentral:rRNA from 1 species
CAGCAGCCGCGGGAAUACGGAGGGUGCAAGCGUUACUCGGAAUCACUGGGCGUAAAGGACGCGUAGGCGGAUUAUCAAGUCUCUUGUGAAACCUAACGGCUUAACCGUUAAACUGCUUGGGAAACUGAUAAUCUAGAGUAAGGGAGAGGCAGAUGGAAUUCUUGGUGUAGGGGUAAAAUCCGUAGAUAUCAAGAAGAAUACCUAUUGCGAAGGCGAUCUGCUGGAACUUAACUGACGCUAAUGCGUGAAAGCGUGGGGAGCAAACAGGAUUAGAUACCCGCGUAGUCCCUGUCUCUUAUAC